rnacentral:rRNA from 1 species
AUUGAACGCUGGCGGCAGGCUUAACACAUGCAAGUCGAGCGAGCGGCGGACGGGUGAGUAAUGUCUGGGAAACUGCCUGAUGGAGGGGGAUAACUACUGGAAACGGUAGCUAAUACCGCAUACCAUCAGAUGUGCCCAGAUGGGAUUAGCUAGUAGGUGGGGUAAUGGCUCACCUAGGCGACGAUCCCUAGCUGGUCUGAGAGGAUGACCAGCCGAACUGGAACUGAGACACGGUCCAGAUUCCUACGGCAGGCAGAAGUGGGGAAUCUUGCACGACGGGCGCAAGCCUGAGGCAGCCAUGCCGCGUGUGUGAAGAAGGCCUUCGGGUUGUAAAGCACUUUCAGCGGGGAGGCGUUACCCGCAGAAGAAGCACCGGCUAACUCCGUGCCAGCCGCCGCGGUAAUUC